rnacentral:rRNA from 1 species
UACAGAGGGGGCAAGCGUUAUUCGGAAUUAUUGGGCGUAAAGGGCGCGUAGGCGGCUUUUCAAGUGACGGGUGAAAUCCCUCGGCUUAACCGAGGAACUGCCUGUCAGACUGGAAGGCUUGAGACCGGGAGAGGUGAGUGGAAUUCCCAGUGUAGCGGUGAAAUGCGUAGAUAUUGGGAGGAACACCAGUGGCGAAGGCGGCUCUCUGGGACGGUACUGACGCUGAGACGCGAAAGCGUGGGGAGCGAACAGG